CUGUGCAAGGGUGUUUAUUUACAUAGUGAUUCUGGAACAAAAACAACAGUACUGCCAUCAAACGUAUACCUUAUGGGACAGCUAAAAACAAUGCUGCCCCAUCCACAGCUCAAUCCAAAAUGCCUCUCCAUGAACUGAAAGAGAGGCUCCUUUUGUAGGGGUAGCCCCUCCCCUCAGAACAAUUAACACUAAUUAAUUAAGCAAUUACCUAUUCAAACCUACAUUUUCCAUUUAACUAAACAUACUAAAGUAUAUACAUUGCAACACGUUUUUUAUUAAACAAUAUCACAAUAUAACAUUUACAAAAUUACAUCAUUACUGACAGUGUCUUUCAAUAUGUCCAUUUACAUUAAUGAGCCACUCGGGACAGGCACUACAAAGUCAACCCAAUUCCCUUAGCUCGGGUCCUUAUCCAGCAUACCCGUAAACUACAGAGAUGGAGAGAGAGAGGAACAGAACAAACAAACAACGCGCUCAUCCAUAACAUCUAAGUAUAAUAAAUAUUGCUUAUAUUAAAUAUGAACACUUGUCUGUUUAUUUCUUUUUACCAUAACCGGUUACUGACGUAAGUGUGAAAUGCAUGUACUAAGAUAGAGAAGUUAACUUGUGUCGACCCACAUUUAUCUGAUAACGGAGCAGGGAUGAGUGAUGAAUGUCUGUGUGCGUUAAAGUUCCAAAUUCUGCCCGCGGCCAGUGACGGACUUCUACGUCACAUUGUGUACAAAAUGUGAGAAAUAUCAACUCCUGUAUAUAUGGGAACUAAGGACUAGAGCUGGGCUGACAUCUUCUCAUCCAGUCCUUGUUACACCAUCCUGUCUAAUUGUUAGACAAUCCAGUACUACUGAAACAGAGGAGUCUGCAUCCCAAAUGACACACUAUUCCCUAUACAGCCCACAUACAUUGAUUGUGGAUAGAUACUCAUUAGAGCAAUGUGUCCGGACCUAUAUUAUCCACCAAAGGAAUAAAUCUCAGGAUUACCUGUCAAACUAGGAUUAUAGCACAGCAGAAAAUUAUUUAGAAUUUCUCCCAAUGUGUAUCUCCUGUGUAUCUAAAGUCAAUGUAUAGACAGCACAUGUCCAAUAUGGUGUGGAAUAAUAUGAAUCAAGAGGAAAGGAAAUGAAAGGAGAAGGGAAAGUGAUAUUAGAAUUAUGUUCUCAAUGUUAACUUCAAUUAAAAUACUCAGUCUGCCACCUAGAAUGUGUAAGAUUCUGGUUGAAUAACACAGACGGAGGCCCGGCUUACAAGAAUCAGACGUGUUUAUUCAGGAGAGCGCUCUGCCGUUCAUUGUACAGAAACAUCAUUAUAUACCAGGCGCCGUAUUUACACACACACACAUACACACUAACAUUAAGGCCCAGAUCCCUUAACCUGUUGGGGCUAGGGGGCAGUAUUUGCACGGCCGGAUAAAAAACGUACCCGAUUUAAACUGGUUACUACUCUUGCCCAGAAACGAGAAUAUGCAUAUAAUUAGUAGAUUUGGAUGGAAAACACUCUAAAGUUUCUAAAACUGUUUGAAUGGUGUCUGUGAGUAUAACAGAACUCAUAUGGCAGGCCAAAACCUAAGAAGAUUCCAUACAGGAAGUGCCCUGUCUGACAAUUUGUUAUCCUUCUGUUGCAUCUCUAUCGAAAAUACAGCAUCUCUGCUGUAACGUGACAUUUUCUAAGGCUUCCAUUGGCUCUCAGAAGGCGCCAGAAAGUGGAAUGAUGUGUCUCCUGUCUCUGGGAGAAGAACAGCAGGAGAUUUUGUGAGUGGUCAGGCUGGGAACAGUGACACUGGAGAUGCGCAUUCAUGAGAAUUCUCCAUUUUUUUUCUUUCAGCCUUUGAAUGAAUACAACGUCGCCCGGUUGGAAUAUUAUCGCUAUUUUACGAGAAAAAUAGCAUAAAAAUGAAUUUUAAACAGCGUUUGACAUGCUUCGAAGUACAGUAAUGGAAUAUUUUGAAAUUCUUUGUCACGAAAUGCGUUCGCGCGUCACCCUUCGGAUAGUGACUUGAACACACGAACAAAAUGGAGCUAUUUGGAUAUAACUAUGGAUUAUUUGGAACCAAAACAACAUUUGUUGUUGAAGUAGAAGUCCUGGGAGUGCAUUCUGAUGAAGAACAGCAAAGGUAAUAACAUUUUUCUUAUAGUAAAUCUGACUUUGGUGAGUGCUAAACUUGCUGGGUGUCUAAAUAGCUAGCCCUGUGAUGCCGGUCUAUCUACUGAGAAUAUUGAAAAAUGUGCUUUCACCGAAAAGCUACAUAUCGAGUGCAUAGAGGAGUUCUGUAUCUAUAAUUCUUAAAGUAAUUGUUAUGCUUUUUGUGAACGUUUAUCGUGAGUAAUUUAGUAAAUUCACCGGCAGUGUUCGGUGGGAAUGCUAGUCACAUGCUAGUCACAUGCUAAUGUAAAAAGCUGUUUUUUGAUAUAAAUAUGAACUUGAUUGAACAAAACAUGCAUGUAUUGUAUAACAUAAUGUCCUAGGGUUGUCAUCUGAUGAAGAUCAUCAAAGGUGAGUGCUGCAUUUAGCUGUUUUCUGGGUUUUGGUGACAUUAUAUGCUAGCUUGAAAAAUGGGUGUCUGAUUAUUUCUGGCUUGGUACUCUGCUGACAUAAUCUAAUGUUUUGCUUUCGUUGUAAAGCCUUUUUGAAAUCGGACAGUGUGGUUAGAUUAAUGAGAGUCUUGUCUUUAAAUAGCUGUAAAAUAGUCAUAUGUUUGAGAAAUUGAAGUAAUAGGAUUUUUAAGGUUUUGAAAAUCGCGCCACAGGCUUCAAGUGGCUGUUACGUAGGUGGGACGAAUUCGUCCCGCCUAGCCCAUAGAGGUUAAAACUCAGAAAAUAAAACUUCAACGAUUCCAUGUGUGUGUAACUUCUAAGAUUCCAUAUGUGUGUAUACCCCUUUAAGAAAUCUUGGCUCUAGGAAACAUUCCAAAGAGAGACAAUGAAGCACUCAUUUUCCCAGAGAAAUAAAAACACAAACACUUGGUCAGCAUUCAUUAUACUACACCAAUUCAGAACCCCAAACGUUGACUAUAAACAAAACCUAAUAAUAAUUCCACUGUAAACCCCUCAAAUCAUUAAUCAUUAGUUUUAAACUUCCUCAAUGGUUAUGUGUACUUAAUUGAACAUGCGCUACCCUUGGAUACAAUAUUUUACUUCAAAUCUAUGAAACUCCUCUAUUUAACAUACAAUUUGGCCCAAGCUUGCUUUACAACAUUAAAACCCCUUCAGUCUGUCUUCAAACAGGCUCUCAAAGUGUUUGAUAGGACUACCCUGCCAUAAGACGCACACUACUGUGAUUAAUGUGCACGGUACCUGUAAAAUAAAAUUAACUCAACCUACAAUUCACUUCACUGACCUGACGUUGUUCCACGUAAUGGAAACAGAUUUAUAAUGUUAGAAUACUUUAACUUCCUGCCUAAAUUCACUGGUGUUAACUAAACAAUCAAACCAAGAAUCAUUAACCAGAAACUAUCACACAACUUUUACAAUUCAACUAUCCAGACUUGAAUCGCUUUACAGCCAAUCUAUAUCCCAGCGAGUGCAACUAGCUCCCCUAUUCUUUCCAGCAGACAAAAAUAUAAUCUCUACUCAAACAACAUUCUACCUUACCUCUAUCGUAAGAUUAAAACAUAUGUUACAACUUUCUCCUCUCUUUCGGCUUCACACUUAUGAAAUGUCUACGACUUUAAAAGUACCAUGUAGAUCGCCAAAUUUAUCAAAUACUUCAUUCAACUCCUUUCAACUAAAAAACAAAUUUCGGUGGGUUCUACUCAAUCGCAAUCACUUAUCCGCUCAUUAUAAUUCAUUAGAUUUAGGUAACUGUCUCUUCCAUUGAAACUGAACAAGCUAUCAAAACGUUCAGUUUAUAUCUUAAACAACCACUAACAACCGUAUCUUUCCAGGUAAAACAUACCAACAGUUGAAUGACAAUCCGCACCUACAAUUUUAAUCAACUGAUGCAUAGGCUGAGAAACAAACCCAGGUCUCCCACAUGGUAGGCAAGGAUUCUACCUCUGAACCACCAAUGCUAUUGCUUAGGGUUGCAAUUUCGGUGGUUUUGUCCUACUCGGCCACAAUGUUUACAGGGAGCCUUACCUUCUCGAGCGAAUUGUCCUGUCUUAUUGCAAUUCGAACACUUUCUAUCGUCUGGUUCCAUCCAUUUUCUACUCUCCCUUUUCCCCCCUUUCUCUUUCUUCUUCUGACAAUCUCGGUUUUUAUGUCCUGUUUUGUUACAAUGUUUACACGAUGCCUCACAAUCCCUUGCAUAAUGCAUAAUGCCCCGACUUCUGACAGUUGAAACAUGUAUUUUCCUUAUUCCUAUCCAUUUAUUUUUUCUUAAACACAGUUACCCCGAUAGUUACUGUUAGAUGCUCUAACUCAACCGGUUCACUCUUUUCCCAGUCUCGGUGAUUAUGGCCUACUUUAUUGUAGUGUUUACACGGUGCCUCACAAUCCCUUGCAUAAUGCAUAAUGCCCCGACUUCUGACAGUUGAAACAUGUAUUUUCCUUAUUCCUAUCCAUUUAUUUUUUCUUAAACACAGUUACCCCGAUAGUUACUGUUAGAUGCUCUAACUCAACCGGUUCACUCUUUUCCCAGUCUCGGUGAUUAUGGCCUACUUUAUUGUAGUGUUUACACGGUGCCUCACAAUCUCUAGCAAAAUUACCCGGUUUGUGACAGUUAAAGCAUCUAUUUCCCCCUUUCUUUUGACUGUCUCUAUCCACUUUUCUCGACUUUCUCAAUAAGUUUGCUAAAUCCUGUUCUCCUUUACUGUGUCUCUGUGGGGGCCUUGGGAGUCCUCUCCGUCUGAGAGGAUUUACUACUCAUGUUCGUUGAAUUACUAUCAGAGUUAUUAUGCUUCAUCACACAAUCUGUGUGUUAUCUAUUACUCUCUAUGUGUGUUUUCUACCGUUAUUAUCCUUAACCUAUAUUACAAAAUACAUACCGUAAUCUUUCCUAGAAUAUUAGAAUAUUUAUUUGUAUGAAUCCUGAUAUAUUAUUUAGAUCUCACACGUAUACCACCAUAAGUUAUACUUAUUUUUAUGUCGUUCCUUGCGACUUUUGACUGAUCAAUAUGUCUAUCUCACACGCAAAUAAUUAUCUCCUUAUUCUAUGUGUGUGCUUUUAAAACUCUGAUUCAAUUACUUCUAUGUGUAUUCCUUACCUACUGUUAAUUUCCUCUAGGAUCUUAGAAUAAUAUUUUUUAUGACUUUUGAUAGAUUAUUAGGUCUCACAUGUAUACAACAAUAAGCUAUUUACCAGAGGUUGUAAGGCCCUGGUCAACAGCCCAUUUUUCCGUUGUUCCUUAUGGCUUUUGACUGAUCAAUAUAUCUCUCACACGCAAUUAUCUUCUUACCCCCGUGGAAAUUUCCCAAUGUGUCUGUGUUGCAAUUACUAUCUCUUUCUUGAAACUUUAUCUAUAGAGGUGACUUUUGAUCGGACAUUAGGUCUCAUACGUAUAUGACUAUAAGCUAUUUUCCAGGGGUUGUAAAGCCCUAGUUAACAGCCUAUUUUUCUGUCGUUCCUUGCAAUUAUUGACUCGUUAAUAUCACGUAUCUCACUCCGCUAUAUUAGGUUUCCUUUCUUAAAUGGAUAAUCAGACCUAGAUGUGCGCCUCUGGAAGAUCUGACCAUCCCCCUUCUAUCGUCGUUAUUUAAUUACUUCUAUGUGUAUUCAAUUACUUCUAUGUGUAUUCCUUCUUUCCACUAGUUUCCAGUGGUAAAUACCUCGUUAUUCAGCUUGCAUAAUAUAUCCUUGAUCAGGUUUAACAAAUCGUUCUCUUAGAUCUCAAUAUUAGCUAGUUUACUCUGGUAGUGCAGAUACCCUAUGUCAUUUCGGACAAAGUCACUGAGGAUUUAACAAUUCCUAGGUGGCUUCUACUCCCAAUUCCAUAGAAUAGUACCUAUAUCAGGGUUCUCUACACAACAUUCUAAAGAUAGGUCACCAGGUUAGGUCACCAGGUUAGAAUACGCAAUCAGAUCUAGAGAUCAAUGUCCAAACCACACAAGAAUCAUAAAAAUAUUUCUCUGAAAGUAGCCUAGACGUCAAUUCCCCAAAUCCGUGAAUAAAGACUUACUGACCUUUGUCUUGUAGGCUGGGAAAAGCAAUGUAGGUUGGAUCCCGUCACCGUCUCUGUCAACCUUAGAUAUUUACCGGCCUGUUAUGGAACCCCAAUUUCAGGGGACAGGUCUUUAAUUAACGAGUCAAUGACCCGCCCAUGCACGGUUUUCGGCGUGUUACCUUAGGAAGACAGGGACAGAUUUUUGGAUCCGGCUCAAAGGACCAAUUGAUAUGAGAAUUAUGUUCUCAAUGUUAACUUCAAUUAAAAUACUCAGUCUGCCACCCAGAAUGUGUAAGAUUCUGGUUGAAUAACACAGACGGAGGCCCAGCUUACAAGAAUCAGACGUGUUUAUUCAGGAGAGCGCUCUG
rnacentral:tRNA from 1 species